AGGUUUGCUUUUGGCUUCCUUGUUUCGCAGGAGGUGUACGAUUGAUUGCACGACUGACUUCUUCGGCUCCUUCGUCGAAGUUAUCAGGACGGGAGCUCGCUCGCUGUGAAGGUAAUUCGCGCGCUUCUUCGGCCAAAUCCCGUAAAUCCGCCGAACUACAGGAUUUAGUAAAUCCGGGAUUUACAGCAAAAAGAGGGAAACGGAGGAUUUAUUCCGCCGGGAUCCCGUUUGGCAGGAUUGAGGCUAAAUCCUGCUCAAAUCCGGAGUAAAUCUUGUUGCCAAACUGCCCCUUAGAGGCGAGGUUUAGUUGUAGCAUAUAAUAUAUAGAUUCAGAAUCAGAAGGUCUAAUCGGUCUUUUUUUCUCGUCUGUCUUCCAUAAAUUCAUCGCUUUGAUCUCCUUGCCGCCUCGAAGAGUGACUUCUCAUCAUCCUUUUUCAGGUUAUGUUGUGAGGUGCGUUGAAAAAUUUAUCAUCACUAGGAUGUUCUGGUUGGGUGACAGUUUGUGGAAAUACUACUUAGCUAAGAAGAAGUUUCAUAAUCCAAUAGUUCGGGUACAUGGUUCUUGAAAUGUAAAUUUAGUGGGUUCAUUUGGAAUGCUAGUUUUGCUAAGAUUUCCCUUUGCGUUUUUGAAUGAAAGUAUCAGUUUUGGCCAUUUUAAUUGUUAUAUUCAAAAAAGAUGGAAAAAACCAGUUAAUUCGGCACAAACGCGCUUGGAAAAUAGGGCAAGGGAUCUUCAGUUUGACAAGCUAGUUAGGCAGAUCAAGAAGUUGAAGUUGAUUUUGCGGCUGCAUGAGUUGAUGUCACAAAGGAGAGCUUCCCACACCUCCGUUCAACUUGUUUCACGAUGGAGUAAUGUUGUCGGGUUGAAUGUGGGAGUCGGUUCAUUCAUUCAAAAGCACCCUCGUAUUUUUGAAGUUUAUACUCAUCCUGUUAAAAGGAAUCUUUGCUGUAGGUAUAGCCAAGAGAUGUUAGGUUUGAUUGCAGAGGAAGCCAUGGUUAUCAGGGAAUCAGAAAUGGCUGCUGUGCAACGUUUGAAGAAGCUUCUUAUGAUGUCAAGGACUGGUAGGCUAAAUGCCCAUGCAUUAUGGCUUGUCAGAACAGAAUUUGGUCUACCUGACGAUUUCAGGGCUUCUAUUAUCAAUAAGUAUCCUGAAACCUUCAGAUUAGUGCUUCCAGAUUCGGUAGAAUUAGUUGACCAAGAUGAUAGUUUGCCUGCUGCAGAGGUUGAGAAAUGGAGGGAGAGCGAGUACAAGGAAAAAUGGCUCAGUGAAUACGAGACCAGGUAUGCUUUCCCAAUUCAGAUUCCAACAGGUUUUAAGAUUGAGAAAGGCUACAGAGAAAAGCUUAAAACUUGGCAAAGAUUGCCUUAUCUUAAGCCUUACAAUCCGAGUGAAGCCAAUUGUAUUCGCACUUCUGGUGGAAUAGAGCGCUUCGAGAAACGUGCUGUUGGUAUUCUUCAUGAAUUUUUAAGCUUGACUGUAGAUAAUAUGGUUGAUAUUGAAAGAUUGUCUCAUUUCAGAAGGGAUUUCAAUAUGACUGCUAAUCUUAGAGAGCUUCUUCUCAAACAUCCUGGGAUUUUCUACAUUUCAACAAAAGGAAACUCACUGACCGUUUUCCUUAGAGAAAAAUAUGCCAAAGGUUGUUUACUCGAACCUAAUCCCGUAUAUUUAGUUCGUCGAAAAAUGUUGGACCUUGUUUUGUUACAGUGCAGAUUUACCAAUAAGGAGCAGCCUUUGGAGGAGCUGAACUUGUGACUAUUUGGCAGUGAAAACAUCUCUGGACCAAUAAUACUCAUAACUUGUUCAGGAAUAGUGCGUUGAAGAAGAUUGUCUUAUAAGGAAAGUAUUUGGAGAUUUUUGAGCCUACAAAUGCUUGGAGGAAUGCUUCAGUGAUUUGAUUAUUGCCAAUAGUUACAAUUUGAAGCCCAGAAGAUAAUUUGAAGGGAUCUCUCCAUGAAAUGAGUUGUUCAUCAAACUUAUAGUUUGGAGGAAACAUUUUGAAAGAGUGUGAGGGAUCAAACCUUCUAAUAGAUUGAAACAUAGAUUCAAAUGUUGGAGAUUGGAGAGCGUGCCAAACUCUUUAGGGAUGUGACCAUAGAGUAGAUUUUUUUCGGAAGAUUAAGGAUUUAUUUGGGACGGUUUUUUAACUGCUUCUUAAAGCAAUUUUUUUGUAAAAAAUUAAAAUGUUUAUAUUAUAAAGUUAUUUUAAGAAGCAGUAAUAAAGCUAUCCAAAACGAAGCCAAAGUCUUCGGAGAAAAGUGAGAUUACCAAUUGAGGAAGAGGAGGAAAACACAUACCUUGUGAAAAUGGCCAAAAUAGCAAAGCCAUCUCAAGCAGUGUAAAGAAACUAAUCAAAGACUGAAAUGGAAGUGUAUGAAGUAGGAGAUUAUUUCAUGUGGAUAUCAGACAGGAGAUCAAUCACAAUGUGCCAUAUCAUCCGAUACACAGCAGUGAUGUAGCAAAGCUCGUUGCUUAUCCGUCGUGAAAAUAUAUGUAUAUAUAUUCUUUUUUAUCUGAACAUAGGACCUGCUAUAAUUAAAUAAAUAAAAUUUUUCCCUAA